UACGGAGGGUGCGAGCGUUAAUCGGAAUUACUGGGCGUAAAGCGCGCGUAGGCGGUUUGUUAAGUCAGCUGUGAAAGCCCCGGGCUCAACCUGGGAACUGCAGUUGAUACUGACCGACUAGAGUACGAGAGAGGGAGGUAGAAUUCCAUGUGUAGCGGUGAAAUGCGUAGAUAUAUGGAGGAAUACCAGUGGCGAAGGCGGCCUCCUGGCUCGAUACUGACGCUGAGGUGCGAAAGCGUGGGGAUCAAACAGG
rnacentral:rRNA from 1 species